rnacentral:rRNA from 1 species
UACGUAGGGUGCAAGCGUUAAUCGGAAUUACUGGGCGUAAAGCGUGCGCAGGCGGCUAUGCAAGACAGAUGUGAAAUCCCCGGGCUCAACCUGGGAACUGCAUUUGUGACUGCAUGGCUAGAGUGCGGCAGAGGGGGAUGGAAUUCCGCGUGUAGCAGUGAAAUGCGUAGAUAUGCGGAGGAACACCGAUGGCGAAGGCAAUCCCCCUGGGCCUGCACUGACGCU